AGAAUGAACGCCGGCGGCGUGGUUAAGACAUGCAAGUCGAACGGUUUUUCGGAUGUAGCAAUACAUUCGAAGGACAGUGGCGAACGGGUGCGUAACACGUGAACAAUCUACCUUUUAAUGGGGAAUAGCUCGGCGAAAGCCGGAUUAAUACCGCAUACGAUUGGUCUUCUCCUGGAGACCAUAUCAAAGUCAGGGACCGCAAGGCCUGACGUUAAAAGAGGAGUUCGCGGCCUAUCAGCUAGUUGGCGAGGUAACGGCUCACCAAGGCUAAGACGGGUAGCUGGUCUGAGAGGAUGAUCAGCCACACUGGAACUGAGACACGGUCCAGACACCGUACGGGUGGCA
rnacentral:rRNA from 1 species